UCGCCUUGCCCGGAUAACGUUUUGAGGGCGUACGAAAACCUUUUCGCUGGAUGCGUGCAGUCAUCGUUGAUGCGGUAGCCAUGGUCAUGCGCAUGCCUACAAAAACAAAAAAUCAAAUAGAAGACUUUAUCAGACGUGACUGAAGGUCCAGGGCCAACAAAGAAUUGAAAAUCGUUGAAAGUAAGGGAUUGAAGAGAAGUGAAAAAUAUGUAUAAACAGACAACAUUUAAAGCGUUGAUAAAAAACCAGACGGCGUUGUCCCGAAUGAUUGGGCAAGGCAUGUCGGCUGCUAUGUUAAACCGAUCACCGUUGUGUGUACGAAUCCACAUUCUCAGAGGAGAAAUGUAAUAUUAAAAUGUUGGAGAAGUUGCCUAUCAAUAACGGUCUGCCCCUUAACAGGUAGUGGUGGCAAAGCAUAUUUCACGGAAAACCUACAAACAUAAAACGGGGAAGCAAGCAGAUCCAUCAACAUUUCAAGAAGAAAUGAUGCAGACCGUGCAGCAACUUCUUUUUCAUUGUACUUUGGGUCACGUGAUUUUUUGUAUACUAAUUUUUGUACAGAAAAAUUACAAAAAAUUUUUUUAUAAAGUUUAAGUACUAAUAAACAAUGUAUAACAUUUUUUUAUAUUUAUUUCUAUUGUUCAUCCUUCGAAAAACAGUUUUUCUUUUAGCGCAUUUUUGGCGCUGCUGAGCGUAUGUAACCUCUUAAGUAAAAUUUUCUUCAUUACACUUUUUCAAAUGUAAGAACAUUUAAUUUCGAGAUUCAACUCGGGGUCCCGAAAAUAGAAGCAGUUGCCGUAAUAGGUAUUUAUAUGUAUACGUUUGUUUUUUUGUAUGUUUCCUUUUUUACGCUUACAACUCCGAUAAUUUGGCUGUAGUCAAAAGCGGCACAGAUAGCGAAUU